AUGUUUAAAAAGCAUGCGAAGAAAGGGCCGGGCAAGACCGGUGCCAGCCGCCGCGGUAAUACCGGCGGCUCGAGUGGUGGCCACUAUUACUGGGCUUAAAGCGUUCGUAGCUGGUCUGUUAAGUCUCUGGGGAAAUCUACUGGCUUAACCAAUAGGCGUCUCAGGGAUACUGGCAGACUAGGGACCGGGAGAGGUGAGAGGUACUCCAGGGGUAGGAGUGAAAUCCUGUAAUCCUUGGGGGACCACCUGUGGCGAAGGCGUCUCACCAGAACGGCUCCGACAGUGAGGGACGAAAGCUGGGGGAGCAAACCGGAUUAGAUACCCGGGUAGUCCCAGCCGUAAACGAUGCGCGUUAGGUGUAUCGAUGACCACGAGUCAUCGAGGUGCCGAAGAGAAAUCGUGAAACGUGCCGCCUGGGAAGUACGGUCGCAAGGCUGAAACUUAAAGGAAUUGGCGGG
rnacentral:rRNA from 1 species